ACAGGAAAUCCCCCUCUAUGUUUUAGUCAACGCACGAUCAGUAAGGAAGGAUGCAGUGCAUGUGCAAACGAUGUAUAAAAAGCCUGCGAAUACGUCGACGGGAGUUAGUCUCUCUCGAACAGAUUAAGGAGAAGGGUUUCCGGUUUAUGAUGGCCAACCGUAGGGUCCUCCUCCUAUUCCUUGUGGUCGCUGUGGCCCUUGUCCCUCUGGCCGUGGCAGGUCCCACGCCCGUUGCUGACCCGCACAGACUUUAUGCAUAUGGCCACGGGUAUCGCCCCUACUACGGACACCAUGGGUAUGGCCAUGGGUAUGGCCAUGGGUAUGGCGGAUAUGGCGGCUAUGGCGGCUAUGGUGGCUAUGGCGGCUAUGGCGGCUAUGGCGGCUAUGGUCUUGGCGCUUUUCUGCACGGACUCCUUGGCUUCGGGCAUCACCACCAUUUCUACGGAUAGACGCAAGGAGCAUCACGAUGAUUCGGCGCAGAAUACUCCCGUAGGCAACGAAAGCUCUUGGAUAAUGUGAUUGUACAAGCGCGUCGAGAUCUUCAUGUUGACGAUUAUUUUUUUCUUAAUUUUUACUUAUUUAUUUAUCAUUAAAAAAAUCUGUAGCAUAGAUAGGAGAAAGAUAUGGGCAUACCUUUUUACUUAUAACUAAUUUCUUAUAUAAGUUUACUGCUUGUACUACAGACUAGACUUAUUAAAAUUAUAUUUUGUA